CACCGCCUGUCGCCGCUACUGAUUGAAUGGUUUGAUGAGGUCGUUGGAUUGGCGUCGUUGUAGUGGCUUUGCCUCUAUAUUGAUGCUGAGAUGACUUAAUUUGACUAUUUAGAGGAAUUAAAAGCCGUGACAUCGUUUCCGUAGGUGAACGUGGGGAAG
rnacentral:ncRNA from 1 species